UACGUAGGGUGCAAGCGUUGUCCGGAUUUAUUGGGCGUAAAGAGCGUGUAGGCGGCCAUACAGGUCAGCUGUGAAAACUCGAGGCUCAACCUCGAGACGUCGGUUGAAACCGUUUGGCUAGAGUCCGGAAGAGGAGAGUGGAAUUCCCGGUGUAGCGGUGAAAUGCGCAGAUAUCGGGAAGAACACCCGUGGCGAAAGCACUCUGCUGGGCCGACACUGACACUGAGAGACGAAAGCUAGGGGAGCGAAUGGG
rnacentral:rRNA from 1 species